rnacentral:lncRNA from 1 species
UUUGGGUGCCGAGCCUGCCUGCCUCCCUGGGAACUGUCACCCCAGUGUGUAGGGCAGGGUGUCUGAGUUCCUUGCCCAGGCACCUAGGACGAAGUGGCCGAGUGAAGACAGAACCAUCUGCUCCACAACCCCCAAGCCAGCUCCUUCCUCUCCUCCUAGAGGUCACUGAAGCGCCUCCUGGCCCCACAGGCCCUCCUAAUCUGCAGGAAAGAUGAGAUCCCAGCUUCGUCCUUCCUGGUCUUAUCUGCGCUUGCUGGGCUCAAAGUGCAUGAGCGUGUCACCUGGGUCCUGAGCCUUCCUGCAUGUCUACAUCCGGGAAACUGCAUUCCCAGGGUAGAAGACAGUCCAAGUGGCUGAGCUUGGAUCAGGUGGACCCACCUGAGGGCUGAUCAUUGGUGAGGUACACAUGGCUGUGAUGGCCUUGGCCUUUGGAGGAGGCAGCAGUAAGUUGAGCAGACAGCAUCACAGGAAUGCGAUGGCAGUGCAGCCUUAUGGUGGCUUCUUCAACGCACAGUACUAUAAUUGUGCUGAUUGUACUGUACAGCACAGUACUGUAGUUCUGUGUUCUGUUGUACAUCACAGUACUGCG